GAGUUUGAUCUUGGCUCAGAUUGAACGCUGGCGGCAUGCCUUACACAUGCAAGUCGAACGGCAGCACGGGAGCUUGCUCCUGGUGGCGAGUGGCGAACGGGUGAGUAAUGCAUCGGAACGUAUCCUGGAGUGGGGGAUAACGUAGCGAAAGUUACGCUAAUACCGCAUAUUCUGUGAGCAGGAAAGCGGGGACCUUCGGGCCUCGCGCUCUUGGAGCGGCCGAUGUCGGAUUAGCUAGUUGG
rnacentral:rRNA from 1 species